CAACAUGUUUGCUAUUCAACAUGUUGGUUAUUCAGUCUCUAUUGGGCCAUGGGCCGUGCAGAUGUGCAAAUCUGUGUGAUUCUUUCUUUUAAAUUUCUGUUUAUUAGAGAGAUCAUGAUUCCUUUCCUGAUAUAUCUUAGGAUUUGAUUUAGACUCCUAGAAUCUCAGCCUGAUCCUAGUAUCUCGCCUAAUCCCUAAAAUCUCGGCCUAAUCACCUUAUUCGUUGAGGGAAUUGUAUCUAUUUAAGUCUACUAUUCUAUUCGAAUAAAGUACAGCUUCAGAAUCAUUAGAU